AUACCUCUCUAGGCCUUUUUCGCUAAGAUCAAGUGUAGUAUCUAUUUCCUAUCAGUUUAAUAAAUGAUAUCAACUAAUUUUUUUGAAGUGGAUGUCCACCAUGGUAGCUUGCUAUUAGGACCUACAAAUGUUGCCUUGACAUUGCACUAUUGCCUUGUUGGGUACACCCCCA
rnacentral:snRNA from 2 species